UACGGAGGGGCGAGCGUUAUUCGGAAUUAUUGGGCGUAAAGGGCGCGUAGGCGGCCUGAUAAGUCAAAGGUGAAAUCCCUCGGCUCAACUGAGGAAUUGCCUUUGAAACUGUCAGGCUUGAGGCCGGGAGGGGGUGGCGGAAUUCCCAGUGUAGCGGUGAAAUUCGUAGAGUAUUCGCAAGAACACCAGUGGCGAAGGCGGCUCACUGGCCCGGUACUGACGCUGAGGUGCGAAAGCGUGGGGAGCAAACAGGAUUAGAAACCCCUGG
rnacentral:rRNA from 1 species